rnacentral:rRNA from 1 species
GACGAACGCUGGCGGCGUGCUUAACACAUGCAAGUCGAACGGAAAGGCCUCUUUCGGGGGGUACUCGAGUGGCGAACGGGUGAGUAACACGUGAGUAACCUGCCCUUGACUUUGGGAUAACUUCAGGAAACUGGGGCUAAUACCGGAUAGGAGCUCCUGCUGCAUGGUGGGGGUUGGAAAGUUUCGGCGGUUGGGGAUGGACUCGCGGCUUAUCAGCUUGUUGGUGGGGUAGUGGCUUACCAAGGCUUUGACGGGUAGCCGGCCUGAGAGGGUGACCGGCCACAUUGGGACUGAGAUACGGCCCAGACUCCGACGGGAGGCAGCAGUGGGGAAUAUUGCACAAUGGGUGGAAGCUUGAUGCAGCAACGCCGUGUGCGGGAUGACGGCCUUCGGGUUGUAAACCGCUUUCGCUCAUGACGAAGCUUUGUGUGACGGUAGUGGGUAAAGAAGCACCGGCUAACUACGUG